rnacentral:rRNA from 1 species
GAUGAACGCUAGCUACAGGCUUAACACAUGCAAGUCGAGGGGAAACGACAUCGAAAGCUUGCUUUUGAUGGGCGUCGACCGGCGCACGGGUGAGUAACGCGUAUCCAACCUGCCCAUCACUUGGGAAUAACCUUGCGAAAGUAAGACUAAUACCCAAUGAUAUCCCACGAAGGCAUCGGAAUGGGAUUAAAGAUUUAUCGGUGAUGGAUGGGGAUGCGUCUGAUUAGCUUGUUGGCGGGGUAACGGCCCACCAAGGCAACGAUCAGUAGGGGUUCUGAGAGGAAGGUCCCCCAAAUUGGAACUGAGACACGGGCCAAACUCCUACGGGAGGCAGCAGUGAGGAAUAUUGGUCAAUGGGCGAGAGCCUGAACCAGCCAAGUAGCGUGCAGGAAGACGGCCCUAUGGGUUGUAAACUGCUUUUAUAAGGGAAUAAAGUGGGUCACGUGUGACUUUUUGCAUGUACCUUAUGAAUAAGGACCGGCUAAUUCCGUG